rnacentral:lncRNA from 1 species
GGCUCUGGAGGGCGGCUGGGCACUGCCUCUCCCCCCGAAAAGGGAGCAAGUUGACAGAUGAGCUUGCGGGGGUCCCUAAUCGGGCUUACCUUUUGUACCUGCUACCUGGCUUCUUACCUAAUGAACAAGUAUGUCCUGUCUGUCCUGAAAUUUACUUACCCUACAUUAUUCCAAGGGUGGCAGACAUUCAUUGGUGGACUUCUGCUCCAUGUAUCAUGGAAACUGGGCUGGGUGGAGAUCAACAGCAGUUUAAGAUCUGAUGUUUUGACUUGGCUUCCUGCUUCAAUUCUGUUUGUGGGGAAAAUCUAUGCUGGGUCCAGGGCUUUGUCCAGACUGGCCGUUCCUGUGUUUCUCAUUUUGCAUAAUGCAGCUGAAGUUAUCAUCUGUGGCUACCAGAAGUGUUUUUGGAAAGAGAAAACAUCUCCUGUAAAGAUCUGUAGCGCCCUCUUCCUCUUGGCAGCUGCAGGGUGCCUUCCCUUCAACGACUCCCAGUUUGAUCCAGAUGGAUAUUUUUGGGCUGUAGUUCACUUAUUCUGUGUAGGUGCUUAUAAAAUACUACGGAAGUUCCAGAAGCCUAGUGCAUUAAGUGGAAAGCUCAGUGCGCCCCGCCUUU